rnacentral:sRNA from 1 species
CAGCAGGUGGCAGAAUUGGAAUUUCAGUUAGGAGACCGGGCUCAGCAAAUCAGAGAAGGGAUUUUACUGCAGCUGGAGGUUCUCACAGUAGAGCCACCUGAACACUAUUCAAAUCUGCGUCAAUAUAACUGGAUAGAAGAAAGCAAUGGCCAGACUUCAUGUUCUAAAAUCCACCCAGGCAUGGCCCCAAGGACUGUCUUUCCUCCCAAUGAUGGCCAGCAAGCUCCCUGUUCAGGUGGGACCCAGUUGGCUGUCUUCACUCCACCCACCUUGGAGAACAGCACCAGGAUGUCUCCUUCGUCAUCAACUUGGGCAAAGUUAGGUCCAACCCCUUUGUCAAAUUGUCCUGUUGGAGAAAAGGAUACAGAUGUCUUCCUCUAGAUCAGAGCAGGGAGAAGAAAAACAACAUAGAGUUGUUGGACAGAAUAAAUACCGUGAAUCCCGUGCAGUGUUUAAUCCAUUGUCCAUCAAGUAGUAAGUGCUUAAUGCAUGUUGGCUAUUAUUACAAGUGCACAUACCAAGAACUCAAUAAAUGCUAACUGU